CACCUGCCCCGGAAGCGGUCGGCUAGCGGUGCGGCUGGGCACUAAGAUGGCGGCGGCGUGAGUUGCAUGUUGUGAGAGGGUCCCGGGGCCGCCGCUUCGCUCGGGCCCCGCCAUGGCCGUCACCAUCACGCUCAAGACACUGCAGCAGCAGACUUUUAAGAUCCGCAUGGAGCCUGAUGAGACGGUGAAGGUGCUAAAGGAGAAGAUAGAAGCUGAAAAGGGUCGUGAUGCCUUUCCUGUGGCUGGACAGAAACUCAUCUAUGCUGGCAAGAUCCUGAGUGACGAGGUCCCCAUCAGGGACUAUCACAUAGAUGAGAAGAACUUUGUGGUUGUCAUGGUGACCAAGGCCAAAAACAGCUCAGGCACCUCAGUACCCCCAGAGGCCUCAACCACUGCUGCCCCUGAGUCCUCCACCUCCUUCCCGCUGGCCCCUGCCUCAGGCAUGUCCCAUAUCCCACCUACCGUCAGAGAGGACAGGAGUCCAUCGGAGGAAUCAGUCCCCACGGCAUCCCCGGAGUCUGUGUCAGGCUCUGUUCCUUCUUCAGGUAGCAGCGGGAGAGAGGAUGACGCAGCCUCCACGCUAGUGACUGGCUCUGAAUAUGAGACGAUGCUGACGGAGAUCAUGUCCAUGGGCUAUGAUCGGGAACGGGUCGUGGCCGCCCUGAGAGCCAGCUACAACAACCCCCACCGAGCCGUGGAGUAUCUACUCACGGGAAUUCCUGGGAGUCCCGAGCCAGAACAUGGUUCUGUCCAGGAGAGCCAAGUGUCUGAGCAGCCGGCCACAGAACCAGCCGGAGAGAACCCCCUGGAGUUCCUGCGGGACCAGCCCCAGUUCCAGAAUAUGCGGCAGGUGAUUCAGCAGAACCCAGCGCUGCUGCCUGCCCUGCUUCAGCAGCUGGGCCAGGAAAACCCACAGCUUCUGCAGGUGCGGCCCUGGGGGCUCAGAGGGAGCCAGUGUGGCCAAUGCCUCUCCUCCCCAUGGGAACCAAAACCUGAAAGGAGGAGCCUGGUCCGGGACCUUUCAAAUCAGCCGGCACCAGGAGCAGUUCAUCCAGAUGCUGAAUGAGCCCCCUGGGGAGCUGGCGGACAUCUCUGACAUUGAGGGUGAGGUGGGUGCCAUAGGCGAGGAGGCCCCGCAGAUGAACUACAUCCAGGUGACGCCUCAGGAGAAGGAAGCUAUAGAGAGGUUGAAGGCCUUGGGCUUCCCAGAGAGCCUGGUGAUCCAGGCCUACUUCGCCUGUGAAAAAAACGAGAACUUGGCUGCCAACUUCCUCCUGAGUCAGAACUUUGAUGAUGAGUGAUGCCAGGAAGCCAGGCUGCCUACUGCCCCACCCUACCCCCAAAUCUACAAACGUUUUAUAAAAGAAAUAUAUAUAUAUAUAUAUAUAUAUUCAUGUUUAUUUAAGAAGUGGAAAAAAAGAAAAAAAUCUUUAAAACACACAACCACCCAACUUCCCAGCCUCCUGAAAUGGCUCCUAUUCCCAUCUUAGCCUGAGACGACCUGGGCUAGACAGCUGUCCCCCCAUUCCCUGCCUUAGCUCAGCCUGCUCCUGCUCUAAGGAGCUGGCAGGACCGGGGGUGACAGAUGGGCCCCUCUUGGCCUCUGUCCCAGCUCCCUGCAGCCAGAUGGAGAAGCGGCUGCUUGCUUCCCCAUUCCCCAAAGGGUGAGGGGAAGCUGGAGCCCCAAACUUUGAUCCUCUGUUGGAAUGGCCCAAACCUUCCCAUCUGGGGUGAGCACAUUCUGGCCUUGGCCUCCAGCCUGCAUCACUUCAUUGGGAGGAAGCGGCCAGGCUUCUGCCUGGGGAAGGGGUAACAUCAGAGCUGCUCUGGAGGUCAAGGCCACCCCAGAACAGAACCCUGUCUCUGCUAAAGGUUUUGAAGUGAAUAAACUUUUAAAAGCCCA